UGCCUGUAAUCCCAGCACUUUGGGAGGCCAGUGCAGAAGGAUUGCUUGAGCCCAGGAGUUUGAAACUAGCCUGGGCAACAUAGCAAGAGACCCUGUCUCUAUUUAAAAGAUUUUAUAUAUAUAUAUGAUCAUAUAUAAUAUAUAUAAGAUAUAUAUGAUCAUAUAUAUAAUAUAUAUAUAUAUGAUCAUAUAUAUCUUAUAUAUAUAUAUGCAGUUUGGAAUUCUAUUUGUCUUGCCUUAUUUGCUUUUUAAAAAUUUCUACCUUAGUUUUUUCCUGGUUUACUUUGAGUGUUUUUUUGUAGUCGGAGGAGAUUGUUGGUGCGGCUGGGUGUAGGUAUGAGGCAGAGGAGGAAGAGUAAUUUAUUCCAUCUACUGAGCCUUUCAUUUACUUUCUGUUUUAGCAGUAGAGUGGGAUGUCGGAAGCUUUUGUUGGGUGAGAGUCAAUCUGUCAGGGUAAAUCUUAAAAAGCUGGAUUUGUGGUUUAGUUACUAGUUACUGUGUCUCCAGUGGAGACAAAGAUUAGUUUUUAAGAUUUAGCCUUAAUGGAUGAUUCACAAAUUGCAAUGCAGAGUAUUGAAGUUAAGUCCAAGGUCAAGCACACAAGUGGGUAAAACUGAACAUAUGAAAUGGGUGUGUGGCUGGCACCCACCUCUGACCUUUACUGAAAUAAAUGAGGAAGACGGUGCUGUAAGUGGAAUGCCACGGACCAGGAGUUAAGACCAGAGUCCUCUGCUAGGCCCUGCAUCUGAAGUCUGCAGAGCAUGGCUUUUCAUUGGCUCAGUGAGGAGUUGAGUCCUGGUUCAGAAAAAGUUACCGAGGUCUGUAAAAGUCAGUAGGAUACCGGAACAAGAAAGAGUGGGAGAGUGUACAGUUCCCAGCGAACAUUGCCAGUGGAGGCUAAUUUUCACCAGUGAAGGGCGAUUUUGAUAGAAAAGCACAGUGUCUCAACUACUUGUGGUUUUUGAUUCUGAAAGAGGAGGCUUUGGCAGGAGCAAUAAUACACGUGGCGCUAAUUCUAGUACCUCCAUCCCCGAAUCGUCUAAAUGUAUUUUACCCAGGACCUGUCAUGGUUUAUCUGAGUGACCAGUUUCCUUUCCUCUCUUGCUUAUUUAUCAUGUUCAUAUUUAUAUUUUUCAUAAUGGGGCCUAUUUAUAUAUUUUGAAGUAGUUCUAGUGAUUUUAAGAUCCAGCAAAACUUCAAGGUCAUCUGGAUUUUGGUGUUCUAUUUAAGUUUUCUAACUUGAUACAGUCCGUGAACCACUGCACCCGGCCUGAAUCAUGGUUUUUUGAAACCAUUGGCAUCUGAACCUGUAGCUCUCUCUGGUAGUGUUGUGUGGUUUUAAAUGUCAUGUGAGCUGAGUUACUGACCUCAACCUACUGCCAGAUGAAGGUGUGAUCCUGUGAUACCAAUCUUGAGGGUCCCUUCUAGUUUUAGCAGUCAGUGACUUCUCUUGUUUAUUUUUGUUUGAAAAAGUAAAAGGCUCUCUUUUUGGCUAUAGAGUUGCAUCUUGAAAUUUUUGACAAAUUACAUAGAGCUGAAGAAGGAUACAAGUUUUGAUAUCUUAAAAUCACAGGGUUGAAGCUUGAAAGGACAGUAUUGGCAUUGCAGCUAAGUGGGAGUGUGAGGAAGCGCCUUCUCUAGGGCAGGUAAUUGCAUCUGUUAAUGUGGUCCUUGGGCCCCUGAGUUGCUGCCUUCCAAUCAGAAUUCCCUUAGCAUUAGCCAGUGACGCCUGAAUUAAUCUCAGGUAGGACUUCUAACUUUUUUCCAAAAUUAUUUUUGUGCAGAGGUUUAUCUAGAUUUUUCUUCUAAAUGUCCUCCUCCCCACUUGUUUUAUUAUUACUGUUUUUUUCUCUCUUUAAUUUUUUUUUUUUUUUAAUAGAGACAUGGUCUCACUAUGUUGCCUGGGCUGAUCUCAGACUCCUGGGCUCAAGUGAUCCUCCUGCCUCAGCUUCCCAAAGUGCUGGGAUUAUAGGCGUGAGCCAUUGCGCCUGGCUCUGUUACUGUUUUUCUAACCUGAGUUACUUAGGAUCAUAUUUUCAUUCUUUUUUAAAAAGAUGGGAGUUUUCUGAACUUUUCCUUAACUAAAAAGUGGAAUGCAUCUUAAUAUUUUCCUUUUUUUACUUGUGUUUCUCCCCAGGGAGGGAAAAACAUAUUUAUUGUGACAGAAUUUAGCAUAUUUUAGGCCACAUUAAAAUACUGAUAAAUGUAUUAAUCAGUGAAAAUAGGUUAUAGUGAAAAAUAUAUACCAUUUGAUUAAUAAAAAUGUUAUUGGAAAAAUGCAAGAACUGCUGUAAGAAUUGCUAACAUUGUGUUGGAAAAUAAAUAUACUAAGCUAAGAAACAAUGGGAAACUGUCAUAUGUAGGGCCAACAGCCUUUUUUUUUUUAAACCCUUCCAAUUUAUUAAUAUCUAGUCUAAUAAACCCUGAUUUAUAGGACCUCUGCACCUUUUUUGACUUUUUAUUCAUCCAUUCUUAAUAUUCUACACUAUGACAAAAUCCUUAAAACUCCAUUAUUGAUGAAAUGGGAACAGACUUUUGUUUUUGUAUGUUGGUGUUCUCUGAGUGGUGAAGGCCCAGGGAGAAUGUUUUGUUUGGUGGUCACUUAGCAUUUGAAAACAUCCACUUCCUUGUGACUUAGCUGGGUAUCUUUUAACAUCUGGAAGCCACGUCCCUGAUUGAAAUCUCUGGAGACAACUUACCUUUCACCAACUUGUCUGCCAAAUUGCACCAUGGACCAAGAUUGCAGUGGCUGCAUCAAGUCUAGGCCUGCCCUGAAGUCUGGAUUUGUAAGUCCCCCAUUUCAAAUGGGGCAGAAGGCAGAGGAGCAGAGGAGCCACUGUGCCUUUCGCUGUCCUGGAGCCAGUUGGCCUUCUGGUUUUGGUGAACCCUGCUUUUAUAAGAGGACUCCCUGGCAUCUUCCAGUUUCCCGCUACUUGUUUUAUGUAUUAUUUUAUGUCUGUGUUUGUCCUGGAGUGCUGUAACUCCUUUCACUGUCUGCUGUAAGUUCAACUUCUUC
rnacentral:lncRNA from 1 species